CAAGCAGGAAAAAAAAGAACCCAAUCUCUUAUCUCCCCACCACCUCUCUCCCCGAUUCACAUCUCCCACCCGAGCUCCACCACAACGCCGCUGCCGCCGCCGCCUCUGAUUCGAGGAAACUCCGGUGCUCCCCUUCACCACGCCUCACCAGCUCGUCCCCCCUCUUGUUCUCCUCUGGCCCCGCCACCAACCCCCACCGCCACGACGUCCUCCACGCCUCUGCACGGCGCGACGGUUCAUUGUUGUAGCUCAUGUGCUCGGCCCAGCAAUCCCACUUCCACACGCGAUCGGCUACCGGCUAGGCUCGAUGGCGCUGUUCCACCUUGGCUACCUCGACUCCGAUGUGACGGUUCAUGCCAAAAUUUCUUACAUAUUCAUCUUUGGGAGAAAGAUCAAGGCAUAUAGUGGGCUACUUCUGCAAAAGGAGGGAAGCAACAUAUUGCAUUUAAAGUGAAGCUUCCUCUAUGAUAUGGAGAUGCAAUCAUCCAUCUAAAGACAAGAUUGCCAAGAUAAAUCGAUGAUGCAUGGCUCAGAAGUUGAUUACAAGAUCGAGAAGGUGGCUACUACUAGAUAGUUUCAGAUUAUGUUUUGGAAUGUAAUUUUUAGGGUCAAUGUUUCAAACACUAUGUGUUUAGAUGGCUGAGUCGUUCAGUGCAAGGUUGAGAAUCAGACUAUUACUAGAUAGUUUCACAUAUUGUAAUCUGUGUAUCAUGUUCUUUGUAAAGCAAUCAAGUUGA